rnacentral:lncRNA from 1 species
UUUAUUAUUAACUAUAAUUUAUUUUUAUUUUUUACUUGGUAUUUUAUUUUAUUGUUAACUUAUGUGCAUCAAUUAUUAUAUCACUAGUAUGGUACACUCAUGCUACGUCUUGGGUUAAUUAUUUAUUUGUGUGAAAUUAUAAAGUAAAAAUUUGAAGAUUAAAAUAUAUUCUAAGCAAAGUUUUAGAAUUAGAUUGUUGGUCGAACUUAGGGAGGACAAAACACGAACUGUCCGAU